UCCAAUUUUCUGAGAAAUUAUUUAGUGCUUUUAGAAGAAAUCGUAGUGAUACUUUUAAUUUUUUAGUAAUCUUUCUAAAUGGUGUGAUAUAUUAUUUUUUUAUUUUUUUAUAAUUAAUAUGUGUAUAUGUGUCAUACAUUGAUUGGUGCAUAACAGUACCCAAUGUUACCAAAUAAUCUCUCCAAAUUUAGACGUGAGGAGCACUGAACAAAUGAACCAAUGACAGCAUGCUUUGACACGUAAAAGUCGUCCAUGCGUGGCCUCACGCUUUGUAGCCAGUAGCCACGCGCGUGGCCUGGGGAACUUCUAAAUGCAAACCAAAGGAGUCUCAGGACACCCCUUGUUUUUGCAUACACACAUAUAAGUUUAAUAAACUAUUUAAUAGUAUAUCAGUAUAUUUAAUAAACAUGGUUAAUGCAUCUUUCCAUUGAGAUAUAUUCUUUUCGUAGGAGAAUGGUGGCGACGAUGGACACGGAUUGAGGAAAAAAUGCCAGGCAUGGGUGGUAGGGAGAGAAGGAGAUAGUAGUGGUAAAGAAAUGAGGGCAUGUUUGUUUUAGAGAUUAGAAUAUCGGAUUGGAUUCCAAAAUCCUGUGGGGCCAACUAAUAUGGUGUUGUUAAACUCGCCUUUGAGGUUGGAUAUGUAAUCCGACGGAUUGUUUUGUGUUGUUUUGUUUUUGUAACCAUCAACUUGGCCCGGAUUUGUAAUACACCCACCCUCAUUAUUACACAUCCAAGGGGUAUGGAUAUGCCUAAGUACUAAAAUAACCAAAAACAUCUAAAAUUACUAAAAUACGAAAUUAUUGAUUUAUCCAAAUAUUUAAUUUCUUAAAACAAAUUUUUUUAGCAAUGAUUAUGUAUAUAUAAAGCCUGCAUUUUUUCAAAAUCUUAUCACUUCAAACAUAUAAAUUUUUUUUAAGCUAUCAUUUAAUUUUCAAAGUUAAAAAAAAUAAUAAUAAAAUAUUAUCUAAAAAAGUUAUUUUAAAAAAUAGAAUGGUCAGACAAGUAAAAAUAAAUAUGUUUUUAAAAAAAUCUUACAAGGUUAAUUAAAAAAUAAAUAAUCUUAUUUUCAAAAGAUUUUUUUUGUCUUUACUAAUUUUUUUUGUUUGAAGAGAAAACGUGAGCAAAAAAAAUAUCAUGGCACUUCACAUGUACAUAAAAUCAAAAUUUAGGUAUAAACAUAUAUAAACCCAUUUAUAUCUAAAUCUUACGUACAUAUCACAUAAUUAUUACUGGCGUGAGCAUAAUAUUUUAAACAAACGAGUUUAACUUACAUAAUAUACUUAGUAAAAAGUAUAGUUUUUAAUUAAAAUAAAAUUAUUUUUUAUAUUUAAAAUAAAUUCCCCUUCAUAGCACCGAUUUUACAACUAGAUAUUUUUAUAUGGAAUAUAUGAUAAAUUUAUCACCUAAUUAUUUUAAAUAAAAAAUUCCUGUAAAGAGGUAUUAUUUUUAAAAUUAUGAUAUGAGGGCAAUCAUGGAAAAUAUGAAAAAAAGUGUUUAAUCCAACCACCCAUACCCAUUGUAAAAAACAAACCAAAAAAGUGCCCAUUAUUGAAAUUUUUACAGGAUUAGUAAUCCGGACUUAGUCCGACUGUAUUUAGGUAUCCAACCUUAAAUCCGACUGAUUUCAAUCCGUCAAAUUCAAUCUCCAAAACAAACAUGGCCUAGGGUUAUGAUGAUUUUAAUGAGACAAGGCAUUGUAGGCAUCUAUCUUGAUUGAUUCGAGCGUAAAACUAUUAAUUAUAAUAUUAGUGAUAUUAAUAUUUUUGUAAUCAGUUGAAUCAGUUGAGUAGUUUCCAUUUAAAUGAGUGAUUUUCUCACUAAUCAUGAAAAUGAGUAACGUUUUAUCCAUAUUGUCAAAUGGGUAAACAUAAUUUGCAUUUCUAUAUAUGAAUACAAGAAGUUCCAUUCCAAUAUAUUCAUAAUUAAUUAUCCAAUAAAUGGGUAGUCUUAUUGAUAAUAACAUUAAAGCUCACAAAAUUUACUAACUUUUUUAUUAAUUGGUGUGGCGUGUAAUAAUGAAUUUUUAAAAUUUGAAACCAAACUGACUUGAAUGAUAUGCUAAGUGUUACGUAAUUGAGUAAAAAAUUUAUGUUGUAAGCAUUAUUUGUUUCUAUAGCAUUACCUUAGGUUGCAAGAGAUUCUUCCAAAUUGACUCAUCAUUCAAAGUAAGACUAAUGUCUUCACUUAGUCUUACCAUUUAUAAAUUAAGUACAUUGCAUUUACAGCUUUCACACUAGUGGUUGUUAGUUUGAGUAGUUAUUGGGUGUUUAAAAUGUUAAUUGGAUUAGGAAUCAAGCAAUGUGUUUGGAUUUUAUUAUCUACAAAAUUGUCACAUAAGGUCAUACCAGUGUCUUUAGUGAUUUAUUUCACUGCUACUCAAAAAUUUAUAUCUUUUCAGUUUAAGAAAAAAUAUGAAAAUAUUAAUAUUUCUAUUAAAUUUGAAAAAAAAUUACUGAAGAUAAAAAAUAAAUUAUGUUAAAGUGAAAAAUAAUUUUUUUUAAUUAUAUCAAAUUUUUUAUAUUUUCAGAUUCCUCUACAAAAAGCAACCAAAAAAAAUAAUAUUCUUAAAGAAUUAUAGAUAUAAUUUCAGAAUUUGACAUCGGUAACAAAUUAAAUCCUGAAUUUUUUAUUUGAAUAAAUUGAAUCAUAACAUUUAAAACCUGUCUCAGUUCAAACUCGUUGUCAGCUUUCAUUUAUGUAACUUAGCGGCAUAAUUGAGAACAAUUAAAGAAAUAACUAGUUGACGAAAAGCAAAGCAUUAAAACAUUUAUCGAGAUUUUAAAAUUCUUUAUUUUUGCUUGAAAUUCGACAUUUGCUUUGCCCGAGUUUUGUCUCUCUCUAGAGACCUUUGCUUAGAUAGGUGCGGUAAUUGCAAAAAUUAAAGUUUUUAAAAGAGUCUCAUUUCGUGCGAUGUCAUUUCAUCAAUUAUUUUGGUGGCAGCAGUUGUUAUCGUCAAGUUAUAUAAAUGUAAACUAAUGCAAGAUUUGAAUUAUAAUGUGUUAAAAACUUUAUGAUAUAAUUUAUUCAAAUUAAAAAAUCAAAAGUAAAUUUGUUAAUAAUACCAAAUUUUUGGGUUAUUUUUUAAAUUCUCCCUUUUUUAUUGAAUAAUGAAAAAAACACUAAUGACAAAAAUUCAGAAACCAAAACAUCUUAAUUUUAAAAAUAACCCCAAAAUUUGAUAUUGAUUGGAAAAUUCACAUAACGAGUACUAGCAUUUAUCGUUACACGCACACGCGCGGACACUUUGAUGCAGUGCUACUCUCCAAAAUACACAACAAAGAGCCAGGGUAGUGUAGUUUCAAAUCUACACCCCUGUACAAAUCCCGAGGCUUUGUCCCCGGGUCUUCUUUUCAAACGUUUGAAAAUCAUCUCUCUUUUUCAAAUAAAGAGCCUCCAAGAAGAAUCAUCUCAACAACAUGUCAACAACCCACAAACCCAAUCAUCAUCGCCUGUUCUCCUUCAUCUCUCUCGCACAAACAAACUCAAACACACACACAUUCUCUCUCUAAAUCCGUCACUCUUUGUUCUUUUUUGCCCAAUUUUUUUUCUCUAUUGGCUUACUCAAAUCCGUGAGAUUGAGAGCAAUCGAAACCUUGAUUGGGCGGUAGAGAGAGAAGAGAGGAGAGAGAGAGAAAUGAACGCAGUGGGAAGACAAAUGCAGAGAUCUGGCUCCACCGGGCACCACCACCAGCGCAACUACUCCUCCGACAACUUCCUCGACCCCUCCUUCAACAACAACAAGUGGCUUCAAUCUGCUGCUCUUCAGGUUCAUUACAUUUCCUACUACGAAUGUUGUGUAUUUGUGUAUAUGGGUUUUAUGUGUGUGAUUGUUUUUAGGGUAUUUUCUGAUCUUGGGUUCGAACAAGGUACCACAACUACUGGGUGUUGGAGAUUGAAUUGAUUUUCAAGAUUUUGGGUUUUUUGAGUUCAGAGGCCAAGAUUGAGCAGGGUUUCGCUGAAGAAUGCGCACAAUAAACAUAUACUAGUAAAAUUCUGUUUAUUUGUUUAUUGGCUCGAUUUUGCGUGUUUCGUUAACUAGUGUUGGGGAUUGAAUUGAUUUACAACAUUGUGGGUUUUAUGGUAAUAAUGGAGGAUUUCAGGGUUCAAGAUUGAGCAGGAUUUCACAGAGGAGUGAUAAUGGAGGAGGAGAUGAACAUACAUAAAUGCACGUGUUAAACAUAUACUUACUAGUAUGAAUGUGCAUACUUAUUUGCAAAGUGGUUUUUGGGUUUGAUUGUUUGUGGGAUUUUUUUUUAUAUAAUUUGGAUUAACACAGAAGUCCCACAACUAGCUGGCGUUGUGGGUUUGAACUGAUUUACAGGAAUUUGGGUUUUAUUGUAAUAAUGUAGGAGUUCUGAGCAGGAAAUUGCACAGGAGUGUUAAUGGAGGAUGAGAUGGACAUACAUACCUACACACAAUAACUACACUGAUAUUGCUAUGUAUGUUGGGUACACAUAUUCAUACCGGUAUUAUUGUUUCUGGAUGUCAUUGUUUGUGGGUUUUUCCUUUUGGAGUUCAAACACGGGCUCGGCAACUAAUGGGGUUGGGGAUUGAUCUGAUUUACAGGAAUCUGGGUUUUAUGGUAACAGCGGAGGAGUUCAAGGGUCUAGAUUGAGUAGGCAUUAGCCGGGGAAUGUUAAUGGAGGAAGAUAUUAUUACCCAUAUACGCACAAAAUAAACAUACAUGUACAACAAUGAAUGUUACAUACCUAGUUAAUAUUUUAUUCUGGCUGCGAUUGUUUGUCGAGAGUUUUUUUUCCGGUUCAAAUUGUGAUUCUGCAACUUAUGUGUGUUGGGGACUGAAUUUAUUUACAGGAUUUUGGGUUGUUUGGUAAUAAUGGAGGAGUUCAGGGUUCAAGAAUGAGUAAGAAUGCACACAGGGGUGAUUAUGGAGGCGAUGAGGUGUUGACUCCGACGGUAUGUUCAAGGUCAUCGAGUAUGAGGAGAAAUGGGAGUGAUGAUCGAGUGUCACCGAGUGAGUUCAGCCCAGGGUUGCUUGA
rnacentral:lncRNA from 1 species